GAUUGAUUUCUUGAAUAUCACUUUUGCUUCAAAAAAAAUCAGACGCUUUGUAAACUAUAUCAUAUCUCUAUAACUCUAUAAGGAUUCAUGAUUGUUAAUAUCUAAUUUCAAUGGUUUGGAAACUAAAUUGAUGGUUAUUUGUUAAAAAAUGUACUGCGUGCAGUCAUUAUUCUCAGUUAAGAUAGCAAUAGAAGAUAACUCAUCAUUUUGUGCGUUACUCACAUAUAUAUAUCCUUCUCAGUUAAGAAAUCUAAAAGGAUGGUGUAACUGUAGCAAAGAAGAAAUCUCAAGGGGUUGUAGUCAUCAGUCUCAGAGUAUUGAAUACUUAUCGAUUGAUGAUUGUUAUAAGCUAGUUUCAAUUCCUCAACACACAUAUAUCAAGAAAGUAACUCUUAGAAAGGUCACAGAGAAGAUAUUAAAGCAAGUAGUCAAUUAUUCCAAAGUAGAGUAUCUUCAGAUGUUUUUCAUGCUCAAUUUGAAAUCUCUUAGUGGAGUCUUUCAACAUCUAAGUACACUGUGUGAAUUGCGUAUCCGCUAUUGUGAGGAGUUUGAUCCAUGCAAUGAUGAAGAUGGUUGUUAGAGCAUGAAAUGGAAAGAACUCACCAAACUCAAAGUUUUGGAGUUCCAUGCAAUCCCAAAAAUGAAAAAUUUACCUAAGGGGCUUCAGCACAUUACCACUUUACAAACUCUAAGAAUCAGAAAUUGUGAGAAUCUUACAUCUAUACCUGAAUGGGUAAAAUCACUGCAAGUAUUUGAUAUCAAAGAUUGCCCGAAGGUGGAAGAUCAAUAAGGCUGUUGAGAUGUCCUUUGAAUCAAGAAUGAUAGAAGGAUUAUAACUACUCAAGUCAAAGCCCCUACACAAGCAUAAUAAGUAUUUAAACUUAUGUUGAUUUAAAGUGUCUUUCUCAGGAACCAGAAAGUGUCUUUACAUUUUAAUUUGCUUAUAGUUUGUUAAAAUAGUUUGGUAUUUUUAAGAUGAUUAUUUGUGAUAUUUAUUGUUCUGAAACUGCAUAAUCAGUUAAGGUUCUACCAUGUUAAUAAAUGUAAUAAAGUCUUCUUUCCCUUUGCACAUCAUUUACAAUUAUGUUGGAACUGUAUACCAUGCACAGAGAGACUAUAAAUAAUAAUUUUUAGAGGUUUUCUUUUCCCAC